AGAGUUUGAUCAUGGCUCAGGACGAACGCUGGCGGCGUGCUUAACACAUGCAAGUCGAACGGAGAGGCCCUGCUUUUGUGGGGUGCUCGAGUGGCGAACGGGUGAGUAACACGUGAGUAACCUGCCCUUGACUUUGGGAUAACUUCAGGAAACUGGGGCUAAUACCGGAUAGGAGCUCCUGCUGCAUGGUGGGGGUUGGAAAGUUUCGGCGGUUGGGGAUGGACUCGCGGCUUAUCAGCUUGUUGGUGGGGUAGUGGCUUACCAAGGCUUUGACGGGUAGCCGGCCUGAGAGGGUGACCGGCCACAUUGGGACUGAGAUACGGCCCAGACUCCUACGGGAGGCAGCAGUGGGGAAUGUUGCACAAUGGGCGGAAGCCUGAUGCAGCAACGCCGCGUGCGGGAUGACGGCCUUCGGGUUGUAAACCGCUUUCGCCUGUGACGAAGCGUGAGUGACGGUAAG
rnacentral:rRNA from 1 species